GUGUGUUUUUCCUUUUAGGUUCAAGAAUUGACCAAGGAAUGGACAAAUAAGUGGAAUGAAACCCAAAAUAUUUUGAAAGAACAAACUUUAGCCCUUAGGAAAGAAGGGAUUGGAGUUGUUUUGGAUUCUGAACUACCCCAUUUGAUUGGCAUUGAUGAUGACCUUCUGAGUACUGGAAUCAUAUUAUAUCACUUGAAGGAAGGCCAGACAUAUGUUGGUAGAGAAGAUGCUUCAACAGAACAAGAUAUUGUUCUUCAUGGCCUCGACUUGGAGAGUGAGCACUGCAUCUUUGAAAAUGUUGGGGGAACGGUGACUCUGAUACCCCUGAGUGGGUCUCAGUGCUCUGUGAAUGGU